rnacentral:lncRNA from 1 species
CGACUUCAAAGAGGCCAUUAGGAAAUCAAAGGCAAGAUUUGUAAAGUUUAGGGUUUUGGCUACAAUUUUUGUGCAAAUUUUAUAGGGUUUGGAGUUAGGGUGAAUAAGUUAUAGCCGUUUGAAGUUAAGGUGUCAAUUUGAGACCUACUGUUACUCUUUUGAGUUUAAGAGGAGUCUUACGGAAGCUUUUGGAGAUCGGAAGGUGCGGCUGGAAGGGCAACUUCAAGACAUACAUCUUUUGCGAAGAAAAUUUUGCAUUUGGAGUUUAUGUGAAGGAGUUAUAGGGAGUUAAAGACAGUGCAUUCAAAUCAAAGGCAGUAAGUAAGCGGUUUUGUUCAAAGUAGUGUUAGGAGCCAUAACUUGAGUUUUCGAACGAAAUUUUGGCUCAAACUUUGGGAGAAUGUAAAAAUUUGUGUUAAGAAGCUAUCUAUAAAAGUUUCGUGGCAUUUGCACUUAUGGUUUGUGAGAUAUAAAGAAAAUUGCGUGCGGGUAUAUAAAGAUUACGGUUUGAAGCGACUGUUAGGGUUUUGAAGAUAUCUCAAGAUCCGCGACGAAUUUGCGGUUGAAAUUUGUUGUACAAAUUAAUAACAACAUAUCAGUACUUCAUGUAAAUUUUGAUCUUGUUUGGACGGUUGGAUCAAGAGUUAUGAGGUGUUGAAGUGUAGAAGAAUUUCCACACAAGGAUAUACAAGGUUUUAAAGUACUUCUACCAUAUUUUGGUUGUUGUUGGUUAUUUAAGACUUAAGUAUUUGGUGUAAUUGUUCCAAAAGGAGAAAUUAUAUAUAUAAAAUUAGGGUUUCCUUAUUUUAA